rnacentral:rRNA from 1 species
UACGGAGGGUGCAAGCGUUAUCCGGAUUCACUGGGUUUAAAGGGUGCGUAGGUGGAGUGGUAAGUCAGUGGUGAAAUCUCCAAGCUUAACUUGGAACUGCCGUUGAUACUAUCAUUCUUGAAUAUCGUGGAGGUAAGCGGAAUAUGUCAUGUAGCGGUGAAAUGCUUAGAUAUGACAUAGAACACCGAUUGCGAAGGCAGCUUGCUACACGAUCAUUGACACUGAGGCACGAAAGCGUGGGGAGCGAACAGG